rnacentral:lncRNA from 1 species
GCGAGGUUCUGCUGUUUCCUAACAAACAGAUCAUUCUACAUCUUUAGAGUGAGAAGGAGUCUCAGAAAUUGAAGACAAGAGAUGAAGGAAGAAUAAAAAGGAGAAGGAGAAAAAAAUCUUUCUCCAAAGGCGUAUUUUACAAGGAAAAAAGGAUAACAUCCCAGAGUACAGCAACUAUGUGUUGG